rnacentral:rRNA from 1 species
GUCUUAAACAUGCAAGUCGAACGGUCAAAAUGAAGGUGCUUGCACCUGAAAGACGAGUGGCGGAUGGGUGCGUAAUACGUAGGAACCUGCCUUGAAGUGGGGGACAACCAUGGGAAACUAUGGCUAAUACCCCAUAAUACCGUAAGGUUAAAGGAUGGACUUGUUCAUUCGCUUCAAGAUGGGCCUGCGGGCUAUCAGCUUGUUGGUGAGGUAAUGGCUCACCAAGGCUACGACGGCUAUCCGGCCUGAGAGGGCGAUCGGACACACUGGCACUGAGACACGGGCCAGACUCCUACGGGAGGCAGCAGUUAAGAAUCUUGCGCAAUGGGCGAAAGCCUGACGCAGCCACGCCGCGUGAGCGAUGAAGGCCUUAGGGUUGUAAAGCUCGUUUAGAUGGGAAGAAUAAGUAUGGUCUAAUAGGCCAUGCGAUGACCUACCAUCCACAAGCCCCGGCUAAUUACGUGCCAGCAGCCGCGGUAAUACGUAUGGGGCAAGCGUUGUUCGGAUUUAUUGGGCGUAAAGGGCACGCAGGCGGACUGUUAAGUUGGAUGUAUAAUCGUCAGGCUCAACCUGAUUCCUGCAUCCAAUACUGGCAGUCUAGAGUCUCGGAGGGGAAAGCGGAGUUCUCGGUGUAGCGGUGGGAUGCGUA